GAUGAACGCUGGCGGCGUGCCUAAUACAUGCAAGUCGAGCGAACAGACGAGGAGCUUGCUCCUCUGACGUUAGCGGCGGACGGGUGAGUAACACGUGGAUAACCUACCUAUAAGACUGGGAUAACUUCGGGAAACCGGAGCUAACACCGGAUAAUAUAUUGAACCGCAUGGUUCAAUAGUGAAAGACGGUUUUGCUGUCACUUAUAGAUGGAUCCGCGCCGCAUUAGCUAGUUGGUAAGGUAACGGCUUACCAAGGCAACGAUGCGUAGCCGACCUGAGAGGGUGAUCGGCCACACUGGAACUGAGACACGGUCCAGACUCCUACGGGAGGCAGCAGUAGGGAAUCUUCCGCAAUUGGCGAAAGCCUGACGGAGCAACGCCGCGUGAGUGAUGAAGGUCUUCGGAUCGUAAAACUCUGUUAUUAGGGAAGAACAAAUGUGUAAGUAACUAUGCACGUCUUGACGGUACCUAAUCAGAAAGCCACGGCUAACUACGUG
rnacentral:rRNA from 1 species